CCUACGGGUGGCAGCAGUGAGGAAUAUUGGUCAAUGGACGAGAGUCUGAACCAGCCAAGUAGCGUGAAGGAUGACUGCCCUAUGGGUUGUAAACUUCUUUUAUAAAGGAAUAAAACGAGGCACGUGUGCCUUUUUGCAUGUACUUUAUGAAUAAGGAUCGGCUAACUCCGUGCCAGCAGCCGCGGUAAUACGGAGGAUCCGAGCGUUAUCCGGAUUUAUUGGGUUUAAAGGGAGAGUAGAUGGGUUGUUAAGUCAGUUGUGAAAGUUUGCGGCUCAACCGUAAAAUUGCAAUUGAUACUGGCAGUCGUGAGUACAGUUGAGGUAGGCGGAAUUCGUGGUGUAGCGGUGAAAUGCUUAGAUAUCACGAAGAACUCCGAUUGCGAAGGCAGCUUACUAAACUGCCACUGACAUUGAUGCUCGAAAGUGUGGGUAUCAAACAGGAUUAGAUACCCUUGUAGUC
rnacentral:rRNA from 1 species